GAUGAACGCUAGCGGCAGGCUUAAUACAUGCAAGUCGAACGGGAUUCGGAUAGCAAUAUCUGAUGAGAGUGGCGCACGGGUGCGUAACGCGUAUGCAACCUACCUUUAACUGGGACACAACCCGCCGAAAGGCGAGCUAAUAUCCCAUAACAUUGCGAUGUGGCAUCACAUUGCAAUUAAAGCUCCGGCGGUUAUAGAUGGGCAUGCGUGACAUUAGCUAGUUGGUGAGGUAACGGCUCACCAAGGCUACGAUGUCUAGGGGUUCUGAGAGGAUUAACCCCCCACACUGGUACUGAGACACGGACCAGACUCCUACGGGAGGCAGCAGUAAGGAAUAUUGGGCAAUGGACGCAAGUCUGACCCAGCCAUGCCGCGUGAAGGAUGAAGGGCCCUAUGGGUUGUAAACUUCUUUUGGAUGGGGACAAUAAUCUCGAUUUAUCGGGACUUGAGGGUACCAUCAGAAUAAGCACCGGCUAACUCCGUGCCAGCAGCC
rnacentral:rRNA from 1 species